AUCGGAUUUCUUCUAGUUUCAAAUCCACAGAAACUCUAUAAGGGGUUUAUCUGCAGAUAUAAAGAGACACAGACAGUAUCUGUUCAGACCUUUCAUAUCUCUCAUAUCUGUUUCAGAUGUUCACCUGCAGCGGCAGGCCGCGUCUCGAGCCGGCGGAUACACGAGAACAUCUUCAUCUUCAUCAUCAUCAUCAUUAUCAUCACAGGCAGAAUUGGGAUUCAGGAUUCUCAUCGUGUCUGCUGGGAAGUUGGGUUCUUUACAGUGGAUUCUAGAUGUUUCUUCUUCAAUGCUGCCCAGACUCUUCUAGUGUUUGAUACAAGGAUGUUUUCAGGGUAUUUUUCCAAUUAUAUGUGACUAACAACUCACCAGAACUAAGGAUUCUCCUCUUCGAGGCAAAGCAGGUGAAUAGGGAAAAAAACACACACACACACACAUAACCAUACUUCCCCAGUUGAUUGACAUUAAGAAUUGCAAAAAUAAUUUGUAUACAAUAUUUUUGUUUAAAUAUUGUUGUUUUUAAAUGCUGAUGCCCCGAUUAUCCAAAAUAUGAAUCUAAACACUGGAUAAAGCCAUGUUCAAAAUUCUUGUUGGAUUUUGUUGACAUAUUCGAAGUAAAGAUUUUUACAGAAGGUAUUUGGAUUUUUCUUUGUAUCACUCCAUAAAUCACAAAAUACUGUCAACAGAAAGAAAACAAAUACAUUUCCGCCAUGUUUUUAGGAAUGAAAUGUUGUAUAAAUCAGUGUGAAUGAUAUAUGAACAAACCCCACAGUAAAAACCUUCAGAAUAUAGAUAGGAAUAAAACUCUAAGUUUAGGUGUAUGUAAGUGCUGCUGAAGUGGAGAAAAAUAGCUCACAACCUUUAAAGACAUGCAUUUCCGCCAUGUUUUUAGGAAUGAAAUGUUGUAUAAAUCAGUGUGAAUGAUAUAUGAACAAACCCCACAGUAAAAACCUUCAGAAUAUAGAGAGAAAUAAAACUCUAAGUUUUGGUGUAUGUAAGUGCUGCUGAAGUGGAGAAAAAUCUCUUUAAAGAAAUGUAUUAUAAAUGAAAUCUACAGACGCAAAUAGAAAAGUGCAAUAAAACUUGUGCAUUUUGGAUGUUUUCUUUCCAGCAGUCUGAAACAAUGCUUUAUGAAAAUCCAAAUAGCCCAAAAUCUCAAAACUGACCACUGCAAUGCAUAGUGUCUUGCCUUAAUAAUGUGUAAAUAUUUGGUGUAAAAAAUAAAUAAAUAAAUAAAGAUCUGAUCUAAUGAUUUUCUUGUUUAAAAUACCUUUUUUAAGAGUUGCAACAAUUAAAAACAUUAAAGUCCAUGUAAUAGUAUGAUUAAUCUUAUAUCCAAAUUAAACAAUUUUAAUUUCAUAUUUGGUUGUAACAUAUUACAAGUUACAUAUCAUUUGUUAUCUGAAAAUAUAGUAAUUAUCCCCUGUAAAACAUAAAUCCAAACCAAUCUUAGUUCAACCAAUGUUUAAAAAUGAUGUUAGAAAUGGAACAAUUUAUAUGCGUUUAUAUUCUGAUCAGCAAAUAUAUGUCAUAUGUACAUGUGGCUCUUUGUCAGUGCAGUUGGAUCAGAACACAACUGAACCUGAAGUUCAAAUAGAGCCAUGAUGGUUUAUAAUAGACGCAUCACUGCCAGAGUAAAUCUGAGACUUUAUCUGUCCACUGUAACCCGCUUUACACUUCCGUGAACUCUAAAAAACCUGUGACUUGAACUGAGACUCACCGUCAGACAUCCACUCGAUCUAAACAUGGAGGAGAACUUCUGCAUCUCAACAGGGUUCUGCUCGAUUCUCAAAUGAACUGAAAAUUACAUUUAAAUUACAAUUCAAUUAUGCAAUUUGAGUUUAAUUUGAAUUGAGGCAGCAAUUCGGCAACAUUAACGUAACAAAAUAGAAUUAAAAUUGACUGAAGUUCAAAGACAUACAUAUAACUGUCUUUUUAUAUAAAAACUAAAUUGGAAUGUGUAUUUGACAAAACCUUGAUUUAAAAUUUAGAUUUUUAAUACGAUUGGAUAGGCCUAGAUAGAUAAAUAGAUAGGACUUAGAGCUUAAGUGUUAAGAGCAACACAAUUUG
rnacentral:lncRNA from 1 species